GGGGCGAUAAACAGAAGUUUAGAGUGAAAAAAAAAAGAACCCACAAGAAUUUUCAAACAUGGACUAGUGUUGCUAUUAAGAUUAACAAACUACUCUUUUACAAGGCACAGGUGUCUCCUGCUCUGGCAGUCAUGUCCCACGAGAAUCCAGCACUGGAAUGGGAUCCGGGCUUGCAGGUGUGAGGCAAUGAACAGAACUGUAUGAAAGCAGUGCGACAACAGCAUGAAACCACAAGGAAAUACACUGCCCAAAAACCACUGAAAAACUGCCUCAGUCACUCUGGUUCUUAACAUUGACAAGAACUAAAGGAAAUUGGAAUUUCAGGUCUGGCUAAAACACUUAGACCAUAAGUUAUGUCACUAUGCAAUAAUAUCUCAAAUUUUCCUGCUAAACCAAAAUUCGAAUUAAAAAAAUAGAUAAAUAAAGAUUCAAAUACAAGGCUUGUGAGAUGAGAAGGGAGAGACUAAGGUAAUGUGUCUUCAUUUUGGUUGGGAUAGAGUUAAUUUAUUUCCUAGUAGCUGGAAAAGUGCUGUGUUUUUAGGAUGAGUGGUGCUGAUAAUAUUGUGAUGCUUUGUGUUUUGCUGAGCACUGCUCACGCUCAGUCAAGGACUUUUCAGUUUCUCAGGCUGCCCUGGCAGAGAGGAGGUUGGGAAUGCACAAAAAGAUGGGAGGAGACACAGUUAGAACAGGUGAUCCAACUGGCCAAAGGAAUAUCCCAGACCAAAUGGCGUCAGCUGAACAAUAACACUGGGGUGUGUUGG